UGUUCUCUUUCUCCCUUCCCCUUCUCUCUCUACCAGAGCUCAACAACACCCACCAUUAAUGGCAGAAACUACUGAAACCUCUUCUGCUCCAGAUUUAGACAAUAUAUAGACACCCAGUGGUCGUCAUUAGCGUCAAGCGAAAGUCGACCAAGAUUCCAGAACAACAGCAAUUUCAUCGCUGAUUUCUGUGCUUAUGGGGUUGGUAGAUAUCAAAGGGAAUGAUGAUGGUUUGAAAUUGGUCAUCGCUGGUGGAUUUUGAGAAACUAUCUAUCCCUGGUUCAAUUCAACAAACAAGACUUAUUUGAUCGAAAUUCACCUACAGGCCUUCUGCCAUACUUGAUGGUGUGUACGAACUACCUAAACAGAAAUUGGUGAAGAUGUUUCUUGAAAUUCUGAGUGCUUUUCCUCAUUUGGUGCUUGAUGCUGCAUUUUCACCGAGAAUUCCUGAACUGCCUUACUUUUUUAAUGAAAGCUUGAAGCCCACUGCAAUCAUCAAAUCAGAUUGUACAAACAUAGCAGCAAGCUGAAAGAGUUGCCAGAGCAAAGCCCCGUUGUUCUUGCAAUGAGAUUGACAUAUCACCAUGGAGUUAGGGAAGCUGCGAUCAAAUGGAUGGAGUUCAUAACGCAUAGUGUACUGAAGUUGAUAUGAGAUGCAUUCCAGUAUUUGCUAGUAUCGGAAAAUGGUGCCCCUCAUUUUUCUCAUCUUCUAUGAGGUAUCUGGAGAAUCAUUUGGUAUUCAAAAUAGUGUUAAAGCAGCUGCCCUCUCCUCAUUUUUCCGUGUUCAGCAAGCUUUGAUAACUGCCGAAAUGGGUACCAUGUUUCCUGGGUUGCAUGAUCUUUGGGUCCUUACUGGGGUUUCAUACAAGGCUGGAUGAAAUGGCAUAGUGGGGUUAUUGAUAACGGUUUAUACCGUGUUGUUUUAGACUACGUAUUUGAAACUAACCAUCCCCUGCUUUAGAUGGAGAUUUGCCCAGGGCAUUAGCAGUUGUGGUUUGAACAAUAACUUUUAAAUUUAACCUCAAAAAAGACACUUCCAGGGCUUUGUUUUGUGUAUGCUUUAAAUCUUAGUUGCAUGUACUAUUAUUGUUUGGAUGAGUGCCUCUUAUGGAAGUUCAGGAUUGUUGGGGUUUAUUAAUUGUUUUCUUAAUUAAGGAAAGAGCAUCUGGUUUCCUUUUUUUUGAUCCUUUGUCGAGUCAAAACGGAGUUAACCAGGUUUUACAAUUAAAUAUUAUAUUUAGUUUCUCUAAUUAUGAGACACCUGUACAGAUGACGAGUUGAUCUGAGAUUUAGAAGGUUUUGGUUUCCACCUCUUUUAAGACGACUCUCUCUCUCUGUAUAUAUAAAUAUAAGAAGAGUUGAUUUCCAGUGCACAGAACUUCUUCACUUCUUUGUUCUUUUUGGGUCUUUGUUGUUGUCGAGAGUUGCUUAUCGUUUCAGAGCUAAAUCAGUUACAUCAAUAUUCCUAUAAAAUAUUAUUACGGCAACUAGGUUCAGGAUUGUAUCCAGGAUGUUCACUUCUGCUGCCAGGAAUUUACCCAUCACUUCUGCUGCCAGGAAUCUGCGCAUCAAUGAGGUUCCGAUUGCAAAAGAGGUUUAUGAAAAUCUGAAGCUGCAGCCGUUGCAAUUUGUGGCGGAUUAUUUACAACAAUUGUAUGGCGCUUAAGGACCAUCAGGUAUCUAAAGGGAUGCAAGAGGAAUAUGGUCGCGAGAUGUUGAGGAGGCUGCAAGCCCUGAGACAGGAUAAAGUGCGCAUAUGAGUGUGCAGGACUUCUUGGUGACAUACGUUUUUUUGUGGCAGACUCAACCGAAUGAUAUCUUACUGUUAUGUAUUGGAUUAACUGUUAUCAUUGUACUACAUACUUUGCCUUAUUUCUAUUAAACUUAAUUU